rnacentral:lncRNA from 1 species
AGGCUCUGUUGAUAUGGGAAUUAACGUUGUCAUACGAUGCAGGGUGACGUACAAAGUCAAGUGUGUGCCCAACAAUUAUCGUCAUCUACCUUUACCCCUCUGUUGAUACCGUAUCGUACUUUAGGUACUUCAGGUCCAUGUGUUGAUCAGGUAAAGGUAUACUUUGUUUCAUAUGCAUGUUGUGUGACAAACAUUAAAUGAUCACUGGUAAUGUAUAACUAUUGUUUAUUUUAUUUUCAGCUUGAACGGUACGGAUUGUUUCCCAAGAGCUUUCCACAUUGCAAACGACAUGGCCCGUAAUCGACCCUUUACAGCAAAUAACGACAACGACGAAAUCUGAUAUGGGAAUUGAAUUGGGGGCGGAACUCGAUUUUAUGUCAUUUCUGUGUUUUGAGGGGAAUUUUUCUGUCUUUAUGUAUAACUAUUGUUCAUUUCCUGUGCAUCUUGGUAGACUUUGUGGACUGUGCUUUUGCUUGGCAGUGUUAAUUGUAGUGUUUAUGACUUUCCUGUGAUAUGGAUUUUGCUGUCAGAUGGAUGUUGCUGUGAUAUGUAUUUUGCUUAUCAAGAUUCAUUUACAGCUCCAGAAAAUGAAUUUCGCCACAAAAUGGAUGUUGCUGUGAUAUGUAUUUUGCUUAUCAAGAUUCAUUUACAGGUCCAGAAAAUGUAUUUUGCCACAAAAUGUAUGUUGUAGUCAUUAGUGAUUGCUUGCUUAAUUCAAGAACAGCUCCAGGUAGUCGAUUGCUUGCUUAAUUCAUUAGUGAUUGCUUGCUUACUGAUUGCAGUUUACUGAUAAAUGGAGAGGCAGUUUACUAAUUUGCUUGUACUUCUAUAUAUUAAAACUGAUGCAAAUAGCUGGCAGCAUUUAGUAACUGCUAGAAUCUUC